GAUGAACGCUGGCGGCGUGCCUAAUACAUGCAAGUCGAGCGAACGGACGAGAAGCUUGCUUCUCUGAUGUUAGCGGCGGACGGGUGAGUAACACGUGGAUAACCUACCUAUAAGACUGGGAUAACUUCGGGAAACCGGAGCUAAUACCGGAUAAUAUUUUGAACCGCAUGGUUCAAAAGUGAAAGACGGUCUUGCUGUCACUUAUAGAUGGAUCCGCGCUGCAUUAGCUAGUUGGUAAGGUAACGGCUUACCAAGGCAACGAUGCAUAGCCGACCUGAGAGGGUGGUCGGCCGCACUGGAGCUGAGACACGGUCCAGACGCCUACGGGAGGCAGCAGUAGGGAGUCUUCCGCAAUGGGCGAAAGCCUGCCGGAGCAACGCCGCGUGAGUGAUGAAGGUCUUCGGAUCGUAAAACUCUGUUAUUAGGGAAGAACAUAUGUGUAAGUAACUGUGCACAUCUUGACGGUACCUAAUCAGAAAGCCACGGCUAACUACGUG
rnacentral:rRNA from 1 species